rnacentral:rRNA from 1 species
GACGAACGCUGGCGGCGUGCCUAAUACAUGCAAGUAGAACGCUGAAGAGAGGAGCUUGCUCUUCUUGGAUGAGUUGCGAACGGGUGAGUAACGCGUAGGUAACCUGCCUUGUAGCGGGGGAUAACUAUUGGAAACGAUAGCUAAUACCGCAUAACAAUGGAUGACACAUGUCAUUUAUUUGAAAGGGGCAAUUGCUCCACUACAAGAUGGACCUGCGUUGUAUUAGCUAGUAGGUGAGGUAAUGGCUCACCUAGGCGACGAUACAUAGCCGACCUGAGAGGGUGAUCGGCCACACUGGGACUGAGACACGGCCCAGACUCCUACGGGAGGCAGCAGUAGGGGAUCUUCGGCAAUGGGGGCAACCCUGACCGAGCAACGCCGCGUGAGUGAAGAAGGUUUUCGGAUCGUAAAGCUCUGUUGUAAGUCAAGAACGGGUGUGAGAGUGGAAAGUUCACACUGUGACGGUAGCUGACCAGAAAGGGACGGCUAACUACGUG